rnacentral:rRNA from 1 species
AACGAACGCUGGCGGCAGGCUUAACACAUGCAAGUCGAGCGGGCUCCUUCGGGGGUCAGCGGCGGACGGGUUAGUAACGCGUGGGAACGUGCCCUCUUCUACGGAACAGCCUCGGGAAACUGAGAUUGAUACCGUAUACGCCCAUUGGGUAACCUUUGGGGAAAGAUUUAUCGGAGGAGGAUCGGCCCGCGUCUGAUUAGGUAGUUGGUGGGGUAACGGCUCACCAAGCCGACGAUCAGUAGCUGGUUGAGAGGAUGAUCAGCAACACUGGGACUGAGACACGGCCCAGACUCCUACGGGAGGCAGCAGUGGGGAAUCUUGGACAAUGGGGGCAACCCUGAUCCAGCCAUGCCGCGUGGACGAUGAAGGCCUUAGGGUUGUAAAGUCCUUUCGCCGGGAAGAUAAUGACGGUACCCGGUAAAGAAGCCCCGGCUAACUCCGUGACAGCCGCCGCUGUAACACCUGAGACUACCAAGG